CUGUCUGCCAAGUGCUUCAUUCUGGGCCCUGGGGAACUCUCCCUCCGCGGUGGGGCUGCUUUGUGCUGUAAACUGAUCCUGGGCGUCCAGGGUGGCUUGGUUGGUGCAGCAGAGAGGCAAGGGGCAGAGCACUGUGCCCCCAGCUAAGGGCAGCGCGGGUCACCUGGGCACCCUAGGCAGGAUCUUCAAGGAGAGAGGGACUCAGGGAGGGAGAGUGCCAGGGAGGGAGGCAGGCAGGAAGAGAGCGGGAGGAGAGGGAGGCCUGACCUGGUCUGGCGUUUUAUGGGGUUUCGGGGGGUGCAUCAGGGGCUGGGUGAGUUGGAGCCGGAGGUCUAAGGUGAGGACCUGGGAGCCCAGACCAGAGCAGCCAGGGGAGGGGCGGCCAAGGGCUGUCUGUCUGUCCGGGGAAGCUUGGGUUGCAUCCUCGUGGAGACAAACAAGUUGGCACCAAGGCGAGGCUACUUGCAGCCGGAUCACUCUCUAUGAAGGCAAGCACUUCAUGGGGCGGAAGCUGGAGGUCUUCGGGGACUGUGACAACUUCCAGGACUGGGGCUUUAUGAACCGAGUGAACACCAUCCGCGUGGAGAGCGGAGCCUGGGUCUGCUUCGAUCACCCCGACUUCCGGGGCCAGCAAUUCAUCUUGGAGCACGGCGACUACCCCGACUUCUUCCGCUGGAACAGCCGCAGUGACCACAUGGGCUCCUGUCGGCCUUAGGAAUGGUGAGUGGGACCGUCCACCGAGGGCUGAGUCUUCCUGCUGGAGGGACCGAGGAUCGGCCCUGGCAGACAGUGGCAAGGAAUCGGGGAGCGUGGGCCUCCCGGCUUUAAAGUCUGUAAGACUGAGGGAGCUAUACCCAGAGCCACCUGCUGGCAUGAGCACGGGGAACAUUUCCGCCUAGAAAUCUUCGAGGGUUGCAACUUCACGGGCCAGUGCCUGGAGUUCCUGGAGGACAGCCCCUUCCUCCAGAGCAGGGGCUGGGCCAGGACCUGCGUGAAUGCCAUCAAGGUGUACCGGGACAGAGCAGCAUGGAGCCCUAGAAGCUUCGGAGCUGAGGACUUCCAGCUGAGCAGCUCUCUUCAAUCAAAUCAAGGACCAGAAGAGGCCACCGCAAAACCAGCAACAACCCAGCCACCUUUCCUGCUGCAAGCCUCUGAGCCUGGAACUGAUCGACAUGUAAAUGCACCUGCACUGUUUCUGAGCUGGGAGAGUGUUUACUUAAGAUCAUGCCCUCAGUUUUCAUUUCUCUGCCAGUUUGUUAGGGAGGUGGAGCCUUCUGUGUGGCAUAUCUGCCAGCGGGAGGCCCUCCCCACCCAUGGCAAGGGCCCUGUCUCUUCUGAAACAGCCGUCCAACCCUCCACCCCACAGCCUCCUUGGGCCUUGGCACCCUGCUGGCCUCAGGCCUCCACAAUCUCACACCUCUUAGCCCACAACUGAUGAUGGUGAUGAUGUUGAUGAGUAUUUAUGGAGCACUGACUUUAUGCCAGGCUCUGUAGUAGCUGGAAUCUGUGUAAUUUUACUUAUCACAUACAAUAAUUCCAAGAUGAUGAUAUGCUUAUCACCACUGUACAGAAGAGGACAGCUAGACACAGACAGGUUAAGCAACUUGCCCAGGGUCACACAGCAGUCAGGACUAAAACACAGGUCUGGCUGGCCGAUUGAUCCUUUUUCACUCCUCUAUAGUGCACCACACAUUUGCAUAUUUAGAUAUAUUUUUGUCAUAAAUUUGGCGCAAACCCAAAGCCUCUCCAGGCCUCAGACCCUGCUCUGUGAAAUGAGCACAAUCAUGUCUGUUGUACCAACUGUAUACCCUUGUAAAAGCCAAAGGCGUGACCCAUGAGCGGGUGCCAUAUGAGGGCUGGUUAGUAGUAGGUGACCCAGUAGGUGACGGGGUGGGGAAGCAGGCAGGGGAGUGGCAUCACAGGAGAGAAGGUAACUUGGCUCCAAACUCCAACCUGAUUCCCACUCCAUCCCUCACUAGGAUGUGACAUUGGAGAAGCCACUGCUGUGUGUCUCAGUGUCUUCAGACAUACAGCAGUGGUAAUCAUUCUGCCCCCUCAUAGGCAAUUAAUGCCUGGGGAAUGAAAUGAGAACUGCAGGCCCCACCGGUUCAGUCCAGGUCCUUGGGAGUCACGGGAAGAACCAGGCCUAGCAGCCCUUCCCAUGAGUUCCAGAGGCUUCCCCUGAACUCUUCCUUUCCUCCCCAGCACCAAGGCGUAGCAGCACCUCAUUAACUGGUGAUUUAAUGCUUCUCGAAUGGGCUUUGUGCUCCUGGGUGACCUCCCCCUCACCCCAGCCCCCUGCUCCCUAAUCUGUCAGCAAAUCUGCUUUUUGUCUGAAAGAGGAAAAACAAGAUUCCCACCAAA
rnacentral:sRNA from 1 species